rnacentral:rRNA from 1 species
GUCUCAGUUCGGACUNUAGGCUGCAACUCGCCUACACGAAGUUGGAAUUGCUAGUAAUCGUGGAUCAGCAUGCCACGGUGAAUACGUUCCCGGGCCUUGUACACACCGCCCGUCACACCAUGAGAGUCGGGAACACCCGAAGUCCGUAGUCUAACCGCAAGGGGGGCGCGGCCGAAGGUGGGUCCGGUAAUUGGGGUGAAGUCGUAACAAGGUACC